rnacentral:rRNA from 1 species
UACAGAGGUCUCAAGCGUUGUUCGGAUUCAUUGGGCGUAAAGGGUGCGUAGGCGGCGCGAUAAGUCGGGUGUGAAAUCUCGGGGCUUAACUCCGAAACUGCAUUCGAUACUGCCGUGCUUGAGGACUGGAGAGGAGACUGGAAUUUACGGUGUAGCGGUGAAAUGCGUAGAUAUCGUAAGGAAGACCAGUGGCGAAGGCAGCUCGCUGGGACGGUACUGACGCUAAGGCGCGAAAGCGUGGGGAGCGAACAGG